CUCUAGAAUCAGAUCCUUCUCGUGUCUUCUAUCUAACCAUCUCUUCUCCUUCUCAUCUAUAGGAACCCCCAAUUAACCUGGCCAUAACCAUCAACAUUCGUCUCUCUACUUCGCUCCUCGGAUGAAGCUUCCGUGGUUUCUCUUCGGUUACGAAACAGACUUCAUAUCUUCUCUGCAGGAAUAUGCAUCAACGCAUGUGCUACCUGAAUAUUGAGAUGCGUCUCAUAGCAAACAGUAAAAUUCAUUGUCAUAGUUGCUGAUCACCUGUAGGUUAUGAUAAGAGGUCUUCGAAUGUUUUUUUUUUCUUUUUCACUGAAUUUCAGUGCUAUUCUAGUCUAUAGUUUUUCUAAGUCCAACUGACUUUGCUGUACUUUUGUUUACUCCCUUAUUUGCUUGGAACUGGAUUUGUAUUGCAAACCAGGUCUUCUGACCUACUUUCAGGUAGGACAUGACAGGCAGCCAAAUCAUUCGGGACUGAUGCAAUGCAAAACAAGAUAUUAUUUUGGAACAAAUUUUCAAUUAAAAAAAUAAUGUGUAAUAACUACUAUCGUGUAUUUUUCGGCUAUUUAGGUUAUUUAGAUCUAUUUAUGUAGAUUAAGUAUUACAAACUAAGAGUGUUUUAGGUUUUGUUUUUAUAAUUUUCCGUAUUAGUUGUAAUUAAUACCUAUACAAAAACUUAUAGCGACGAAUGAAGAGAAUAGAAGAUGACGAAUUAAGAAUUUCUUUA